UAACAAGAUUGUUCGCCAGAGAACUACUAGCCACAGCUUAAAACUCAAAGGACUUGGCGGUGCUUUAUAUCCCUCUAGAGGAGCCUGUUCUGUAAUCGAUAAACCCCGAUAAACCUCACCAACCCUUGCUAAUUCAGCCUAUAUACCGCCAUCUUCAGCAAACCCUUAAAGGGGACCAUAGUAAGCACAAGUAUGCGCAUAAAAACGUUAGGUCAAGGUGUAGCUAAUGAGUUGGGAAGAAAUGGGCUACAUUUUCUACUUUUAAAACAUACACUUCUGAACGAAAACCUUUAUGGAACGAAAGGGUAAAGGAGGAUUUAGUAGUAAAUUAAAAAUAGAGCGCUUAAUUGAAUAAGGG
rnacentral:rRNA from 1 species